rnacentral:rRNA from 1 species
AUUUAUGACCAUACUACCCUGAAUAAGCUUGAUUUUUCUGAUCUCAAAAUCUAAGCAGGGUCAGCCUAGUUAGUAUCUCAGUGGGAGAAUAGUCAGUUCAGCUUAGGUU